rnacentral:rRNA from 1 species
CAGUCGCCGCGGUAACACGAAGGGGGCUAGCGUUGUUCGGAAUUACUGGGCGUAAAGCGCACGUAGGCGGAUAUUUAAGUCAGGGGUGAAAUCCCAGAGCUCAACUCUGGAACUGCCUUUGAUACUGGGUAUCUUGAGUAUGGAAGAGGUGAGUGGAAUUCCGAGUGUAGAGGUGAAAUUCGUAGAUAUUCGGAGGAACACCAGUGGCGAAGGCGGCCCCCUGGACAAAGACUGACGCUCAGGUGCGAAAGCGUGGGGAGCAAACAGGAUUAGAUACCCCCGUAGUCCCUGUCUCUUAUAC